GAAAUGCGAUACGUAAUGUGAAUUGCAAAUUCAGUGAAUCAUCGAGUCUUUGAACGCACAUUGCGCCCCCUGGUAUUCCGGGGGGCAUGCCUGUCCGAGCGUCAUUUCUGCCCUCAAGCACGGCUUGUGUGUUGGACCCCGUCCUCCGAUCCCGGGGGACGGGCCCGAAAGGCAGCGGCGGCACCGCGUCCGGUCCUCGAGCGUAUGGGGCUUUGUCACCCGCUCUGUAGGCCCGGCCGGCGCUUGCCGAUCAACCCAAAUUUUUAUCCAGGUUGACCUCGGAUCAGGUAGGGAUACCCGCUGAACUUAAGC
rnacentral:misc_RNA from 1 species